AUCUUUAUUAUUUAAAAUUAUUAAUUGCCAUAUAUAUCUUAAUCAUGUUAGGCAAUUCCGUAGCUUUUAUUUAAGGAAAGAAUAUAUAAUAAUUUCAAUUUGAUAAAUAAAUGGUCCAUAAUGGAUAUACUAUAUAAUAUAAAAUUCCAUAGAAAUUUAAUUUUGGACUAACAAAAUUUUCAAUUGAUUUCCAGGCCACCACGCUAUCAAAAUUAGCAUUCUAAUUACAUGACAUUUCAGCAGUGUACUUUUUUAAUUAGUACAAACUAAGAGUUAUAACUUUUUAAAUGUUUCUCUAUUAAUAUAUAGGGGAUUUCUUAUGAUUUUGUUUUAAAUUUUAGAUUUUACAUCAGAUUAUCCGAACCGAUCCAAUAUAACACAAAUACAAACGAUAUACGAUUAUUUUAUGGGUUCUAAUAUGUGAUACAAAACUGAUCCGAACAUUCUAGUAUGUGAUACAAAACCAACCAAACCCCGAUGUGUUAUAUUCUCCCAAUCCAUUCUUACAAAAAUACCAGUAUGGAUUCUAGAAAAUCUUAUAUAUAAUGGGACACUUUUCUCUCUUCUGAGAGUGUCCACGUAUGCAUUUCUUAAAGAGUGUGGGCCCCAAGUUCUGUCCGGUUUCAAUUGAUUGUUUAGGUUUGGUCUUCGGUCUGAUUUCGGCUUGAUGAUUAAGUCAAACUCUGCGUAUUGCAACGAAACCAUUGACUAAGGUUUUUUGGUAUAUGGCCCAUAAAGGCCCAGCUCUGAUGUUUUAUGAGUAAGUCGACCAAACUCUCCCGUUUUGCCGUUUUGUAGAUUAGGUUUUCAUGUUUCUACUUCAAUCCGCCGUAUGCAACACGUGUGUCUCUGAACUCUUUACUUUCCAACUCUGUUCAUAUCCAUCUAAUCGUUUACUUUGCUUUGUUUAUAUUACCUUUAAAUUUGCCAAUAAAUGUUUUCCCAUUAAAGCCAUAAACGCUCUGGAUCUCUCCGUCUCCUCUCACAUACAAUUAUAACCCGAAACCACUUCAACCCCUAUAAAUAGGAAAUUGGAGAUUGGAGAGAGUAAGAUGAAUCUUCACCGCAUCUCUCAGUUCCUCUUUAAUCUUCAAAAAUGUCUUCGUCUGCUGUUGUUGGUGACGAACCAGUCCGCCACUCAACCUUCGACACGAUAGAUCUUCCGAAUUCAUUGUCGCUCGGCUCCUCCAUUCUUGGGACUUCCGCAGCAUCAAGAAGGAUGGAGAAUUCAUGGGAAUCACUCUACUUCUCCUUGAUGAGAAGGAUUCAGUGAUCAUAUAUGUGCCUCAAGUCGACCCCAGCAACCAAUUUUUUUUUUGACACCAGCCUCCCAGCCAUCACAGAGUUCGCAGCCAGCUUAAGAGGUGCAGUAGGGGUGGAUUUUUCCUGUAUUGAUAGCAAUUAAGGGAUUAAAAAAAAGAACUUGUCUCAAUUGGAGAUGUCAACAAAUUCAUCGCCAACUCAAACGAGCACACACAAGAAGCUGGAUUUAUUUGCAAAGCUCGGAUUGUCGAGGUUCUGAAACAAAAUGGAUGGUCUUUUAUCUUGCAUUGGACGCAGCAGGAAGCUAGAGAAAUCUGGCAGCUCUUUUCUUUGCAGCCGAUGUGUUAAUCCCAACGUCAACGGUGUGAUCAGGUACCUUGUGGAACUAUCAGUUGAUGAUGGGAAUGUACGACUUUUGUAGUGUUCGGAUGCUUAAGCUUACCAAGAAAGAUGCAGCUUCUCUGGCUCUUGAUGAGGGUGAAUGGUGGUGGCGGCCAGGAACUCCCUGAAUGUCUUAAAGAACUUGCUGGGAAAGAUUUUGUUUUCAAGAUACAUGUAACGCCAUACAAUUUCACCCCAAUCACCACACCUUUCCCAUUUCUGCAAUCAUCCCGUGAUUUUCAACACCACUGAAGGGAAAGGCGCUUCCGCUUGUGCCAGCAACAUGGCUGCAGCUGGAGGCAAAGAAUGUGGACACAAACGCUCCCGGUGAGUGAGUUUCAAAGCUGGUCAAACCGUCAACCCCGCAUAGCUUUGUCAUUUUACAAUUUCCUAAAUUAAUAUGCUUUACCUAUUUUGGACUUUUGCAAUGUAUUUUGUAUUUCCAGCUUUCGUUUUUUUUUGUCCAGCCAAUUACGGCAUAUUAACUCUUAUGAGGAGAACAUUUUCUAAGUUUCAAUAUUAAAAAGUCAGGGUCGUAUUCAUGUUAACAAAAUGCACAACUUCAUGGUUUAGAUAGUAAAACAUAGAUCAUGUAAACAUAAGACUUUUUUUGAUCAAAAACAUGAUUCUAUUACAAAAUUUUGAAGCUAUAAAGUAUUAAAAGUUUUUUAUUAAUGAAACAUAUUUAAAGGUUCAAUCAGUUUAUAAGUUUAGAUUUACAAGCAAUUUGCCGUCAUUUAAUUCAAUGCUCCUAUUAUAAAUCACUAAGACUAUACCAACAAAUCAGUCGGGUCGACCUCCUAUAACAUGUUUUAUUACACUGAACAACUCCGCACUUGCGGUGGGCUAUAUAAUUAAUAGGGCUAGGAAAAACAUACCUAUAGAAAAAUAACUGAACACAACAAUUACUAACAAAACUUAAUAUAAUUAAACACAUUGAAAAAACAACCGAGAACAUGUAAAUGAAUAAUACAUAUCCUGAGUGAGUUACCAUUUAGGACACUUUAUUCACUUUUUUGACAGUUUAAGACACUUGUUGCUGGAGGGACACUUUUUCUCUUACUUAUGCUGAUUUCAGACUAAAUUACCCCUGGUCGAAGUGAGACAAGAAACAAGUUGGUGUUAGUGAGGACCACUUAUAUUGUCUUGUUAGUGAGAACGUUUGUUUCUGGUCAGAAAACAUAAAAAAAUAACUUAGUUAGAUAUUAUUAUUUUAUGUCAUUACUUUUCAUCUUCUUGUUUUAUAUUAGUUUUUUUCAAAAAUUUUGAUAUAUUAAAAAAAUUUAAUUGUUACAAUAAAUUUUAGAUUUUUUUUCUCUAUAUUUUAAGAUCCAUUAUCAUAUAUAUAUUUUAUAUAUUUAACAUUUAUACAAAAUAAAUAUGUGGACAUGGAUGAAACAGUGUGAAAGAAUAAAAUAUGAAAGAGAUGUAGAUUCACAACGUUAAAUAUUUAGUGCUUUGUAAAUUUAUCACAGACAGCCGAGUUAGCACCUAUAAUAAGCAAAAAAAAUGAGCUCAUGAUAAAUACUAAUGUCGUGGAUAUGGACGGAAAACUACGAACAUUGACAAAAAAAUUAUAUCUUUUAACAUCCAUUUUCAAUUUUACAUAUAUUAACAUUUACACAAAAUGUUUAGACAUUGACAUAAUAAAUAUGUAUGAAAAAUGUGGACAUGGCUAAGAAGACAUAUUUCUUAAAAUGUGGACAUGGACUAAAUCUGUGGACAAAAAUUCGUGGACAAAAUCUGUAUAGGGUAAAAGGUCAUUUAUUCCUUCAAAGCUACACUGAAUUCAAUCAAGACACAAGGUAAUAGAGAGACUCGUUGACGGGAGAACCCUAAAACCAGACAAUCUGACAGAUCUCGGUGGAGGCUUCUCGGGAGUUCCCAAAUAAACAUGGAAUUGGGUAUCGUUUUGUGCUUUCGGUGAAAUUAGGGUUGAACUGGGAAAGUGAAUUUGAGUUGGGAGAGAAAACCAAAGAAAAUUGGAGAAAUUGCAGAGAUGGGGAUUGCAGAAUCAAACAAGUGGCAUGCCCUCUUCCUUCUCUGAUCUUCUCCGAUAAUUGAAGGUAUGGAAGCGUCGUGAGAUUAAGGUUAGGAAAAUGAUAAUUGAUGGAAAAGAGAAAGUAGAUCUCAGAAUCAUAGUGGAAGAGAGAAAAAUAGAUGGACUUAGAAAUUUAGAAAUUUUUAUUAUUUUAUGACAAAAUAGAGUAAUUAGAAGAGGGUGUAGUUGAGGGGUAGGUAAGACAUUGCACAUGGACAAUGUGUGCCUCCAGCCACAAGUGUCUUAAUGUGUUAUUCCAAACACAUAAUGUGUCUUGGAGUGUAAAAAAUUCAUGACAAUAUACAUAUAAAUAAAACCCCAUUAACUCACUAUAUAUACUAUAUUAUAAACACAAAUCAAAACAAUUCAUGAAAAUUAAUACUCAGCAUAAUAUUAUUCCAUAAUAAUUAUUUGAUGCUUCGAAUGGUAAUAAACGAAAAUUGAAAUACAAAAAACGUCGUCCCACAUAUAAACUAAGCAAAUAUUAACGACUGAUAUAUAUGAUUUCUAAGUUUGUUGGAUUAUAAAGCAUGUUAAUGGACUACUGUCAUGCUUGAUACUACAACUACUAAAAUUGCAAUUAACUUUAUAAUUACUUCCCUCACACACAUGAAAACACCCGAAAAAAACAAUGAAAAUAAAGUAAGGCAUAUAUAUACACCAUAACCCGCAAAAAAAGAUGACAAAAUCAGACAAACGGCAAACAACUAAUCCUAAACUCCGGAUAUGCCCUACUAACAUUACAACAAAACAAACUCAUCAACACAACACAACACAACGUCACCAUUUAUACCCAAAAUUACACACAUAAUGAAAGAACUUCUAAAACAAAUUCUCCAACAACUACAUCAAUCUUUUUCGAAACAUACGACAACAAAAUCACUCAAAGUCAACAUUUCCGCGCUUGCGCGGGGCUCCACCCCUAGUGUUAUUAAAUAGAACUGAAAUUCAAAAAAUUUGAUACGAAUCCAACAUGUACCCGAACAUUUUAUUUAAAGAAUUUAUGAUGUAAAUUUAUUAUAUAAUAUUUACAAAUAUAUUUCUCAUAUUAAAUUAAAAAUUAUUAUUUAAUUAAUUUUUGUUAAUUUUACUAAAUAUAAAAAAUUGUUUUAUAUUUUCUGAAAAGAUAUUUUUAUAAAACGAUAUUUUUUUUAUUUUUCAGAAAACAAUUGUACAUGUAACAUCAUUGUGACAUAAGGCCAUGUGCAGCGAUGAAUUCUCAGAUGGUUACUAAUCAUUAAAUUAAUGAAAAUAAAUGAACAAGGAAGAGAGAAUGAAAAACGUUUCUGCUUGAAGAGACUAAAAAAAAUCUGAAGAGACUCGACUUCUAUUUUAUCUUCUUUCUAUUGGGUAAACUUCAUUUAGUUUUGAAAUUUAAUUACAAAUAAUAUUAUACUAGUUUUUUUAUUGAUUAGGUACUAUGGGAAGAACUUCUACCACUAAUGAUGCUCUAACAUUUACAUUAACAAAUUAGAAGACGUGGAUGUGGCGAUUAGUGUAUAAUUUUGCUAAAAAUAAUACAUAUUAUUUGAAAUUUUCGAAAAUUUCGAAAAUUUACAGAGAAGAGCAGCUCUUGUAAUAAGUGGUUCAUUUCUGUAUCUAGUUUCUAUCUUGUAAAUUGUAAUAAGUGGUUUACCACAACUCUUGUAAAACAAAAAAAUCUUGGUAUAAAUUUUAACAUUUGUACCAAAAAUUUUUUCAAAAAUUUAGUUAUAUUUUUGCAUGCUGACGUAAGUUAGAUAUAAAUUUGUUAGGAUUUAAACCUUUGCCUAGUGCUUUAAACUUAGAUUGAAAUCAAUAUCAAAAGCUCUUCCUCUUUAUUCACUAUCAAUGAGUAACCUUACAAGAACAAAAUAGAAAUCACAAGCUUCUCUUUAGAACCAAAACCUUAACUAUUGAUUCUCUUGAUCUCUCUCUAUUUGCCUCGCUCUUGUAUCUUUGUUUCGGAUGAUUCUAAAGCCAUGACCACCUCUUCUAUUUAUAACAUCAUCAGCCUCUUAACUUUCCUAUUCCUUGUUGUCUUGGUUCGUCUUUGACCGACAUAACAAAACAAGAAACUAACUUCACGUUUCCUUUUUGUUUAUGCAGGAUUCUUGCUGGGCUGGAGUGGGCCAAGACAGAAUUGGGCUUUUCUCUCUACAAUCUCCACCUAAAGCCCAUAUUCUUGCCUUCUCUCUCUUGUCACCUCCUUCGAUGAUACCGUAGACGCUUUCAAGCUUCCAUCUCCUUCCACCUUUGAUCUGAAACGCUAUCUGUGACAACUUCGCUGUUGAGUCACUGUCGCCAUGCUCCUUAUCCUUAUCUUUGCAGUGAGCCAUGAACACGAAACCAGAAACGACAAUCUUCACUCAUCUCCCCCUCUUUUUUUUUUUUUUUCACCUAGAAUUUCUUGGGACUGUGAUGAUGUCUCACCGACGAAUCAUUCCACCUCCGGCGAGUACCGUUUCUUCACCCUGCGUCACAUUUACCCUUGUCUUUAAUCCCUCCGUGGAUAGCGAUUCAACUUCUCAAAUCUCAAGCUCACUCCUUUACUAGAUUAGACCAUUCUUAUCGCAACACUAGACAUCUCCAAAGAAGCUCGCGAUUUCUUCUUGGUGACUAGCAAAUCUAAUUUUUCAUGUUGGUGUUGAUCAAUUCAAUCAAUAUUACCGGUCAUACUGCAGCUUUCCGUCCUUCCUGCGUUUCCGUUGAUCCUUUUGAGACUCCCCUUUUACUCCGACGAACCCACGAACCCCUUUCCACUUCAACUUCCUGGUAAGCUCUCCUUGGUGUUUAUCCUCCACCACAGCAGCUGUUUAAGACGUUCUCUCCUCUCCGGUGAUCUAUUUCUUCUUUUCCCCGACCUAGAUACUCGUCUCCCUUCAGCUUAUCUUGCUGUUUAAGACGUUUUCUCAGCUACUCCACCUUGAGCUAAAACCUCUGCCUCGCAUCUAUGCUCACAGGUAACUCUUUAAACUCCCCCUUGAGUUUUCCAUUAUCAAUAUAAACCUGAAACUUACUUGCUUCUCCUCCUCUGUCUCUGCGAGCUUGAGACAGCGUUGAUAAUGGAGUUACCUGGAGCGUCCUCCUUCUUAGGCAGAAUCGCAGCGAACCUGAAGCUCCUCUCCAGGAUUCUUGCUGGGCUGGAGUGGGCCAAGACAGAAUUGGGCUUUUCUCUCUACAAAAUUGAAAUGGCCGUUUUCUCGAUCCUUAAGCAAAUAUUGCGACACUCGAACGGAGACGCA